rnacentral:misc_RNA from 1 species
CCGAGUCCAUGCCCUCACGGGUAGAUCUCCCACCCUUGUGUAUUUUAUUGUUUGUGUUGCUUUGGCAGGCCGUGGGCCGCGCCCACCACCGGCUCCCGGGCUGGUGCGUGCCUGCCAGAGGACCCUUUUAAACUCUGUUUGUCAGUGUCGUCUGAGUAUGAUAACAAUCGUUA